AAGACCAAGCAAUGCCUGCUGGGAGCCUACGAUUUCCUUUCAGAGGACAUUUUGGAUUUAAAGGGACUGAUCGCUGACAGUAGAAGCUCUCGAUCCCCCUAAGGUAGACUAGACAAUGUCCACAAUGGUGUACCCAAGGGAAGAGAAGCUGGAGAAGCUGUCCCAGGAGGAGAUCAUCUCCAACACCAAGCUGGUGAUCCAGGGCCUGGAGGCACUGAAGAACGAGCACAACUCCAUCCUGCACAGCCUUCUGGAGACCAUCAAGUGCUUGAAGAAGGAUGAGGAGGCCAACCUUGUUCACGAGAAGUCCAGCCUGCUGCGGAAGUCUGUGGAGAUGAUCGAGCUGGGCCUGGGAGAAGCACAGGUGAUGAUGGCCUUGUCCAACCACUUGAAUGCCGUGGAGUCAGAGAAGCAGAAGCUGCGUGCCCAGGUGAGGAGGUUGUGCCAGGAGAACCAGUGGCUAAGGGACGAGCUGGCAAACACCCAGCAGAAGCUGCAGAAGAGCGAGCAGAGUGUGGCCCAGCUAGAGGAAGAGAAGAAACACCUGGAGUUCAUGAACCAGCUCAAGAAGUACGACGAAGAUGUCUCUCCCACGCAGGAGGAGAAGGAUGGCGAGCCUCCCAAGGAUUCUCUGGACGAUCUCUUCCCUAAUGAUGAAGAGGAGCACGGUCAAGGCAUGCAGCACCAGCACAACAGCGCGGCGGUGGCUGCUGCCCAGCAGGGCGGCUAUGAGAUUCCGGCCCGUCUGAGGACCCUCCACAACCUGGUGAUCCAGUAUGCCUCCCAGGGACGCUACGAGGUGGCCGUGCCCCUCUGCAAACAGGCCCUGGAGGACCUGGAGAAGACCUCCGGCCACGACCACCCUGAUGUGGCCACCAUGCUCAACAUCCUGGCCCUGGUUUACAGGGAUCAGAACAAAUACAAAGAGGCAGCCCACCUGCUGAACGACGCCCUGUCUAUCCGAGAGAAGACCCUCGGCAAAGACCACCCGGCGGUUGCUGCUACGCUCAACAACCUGGCCGUGCUGUACGGUAAGAGGGGAAAGUACAAGGAGGCUGAGCCGCUAUGCAAAAGGGCCCUGGAGAUCAGAGAAAAGGUACUGGGCAAGGACCACCCUGACGUGGCCAAGCAGCUGAACAACCUGGCCCUGCUCUGUCAAAACCAGGGCAAGUACGAGGAGGUGGAGUACUACUACUGCCGCGCCCUGGAGAUCUACGAGUGCAGACUGGGCCCAGAUGACCCCAAUGUGGCCAAGACCAAGAACAACCUGGCAUCCUGCUUUCUCAAACAGGGGAAAUACAAGGAGGCCGAGAUUCUGUACAAAGAGAUUCUGACCCGCGCCCACGAGAAAGAGUUUGGAUCCGUUGACGCUGAGAACAAACCUAUCUGGAUGCAUGCCGAGGAGAGGGAGGAGAGUAAGGGCAAGAACCGAGACAACACCCCGUACGGCGAGUAUGGAGGCUGGUACAAGGCCUGCAAAGUCAAUAGCCCAACAGUGAACACCACUCUGAGGAACCUGGGGGCUCUGUACCGCCGACAGGGAAAGCUGGAGGCCGCCGAGACCCUGGAGGAAUGUGCCAUGAGGUCCCGCAAACAGAGCAACACAGGCAUAGACCCCAUCCACCAGACUCGGGUGGUGGAGAUCUUAAAGGAUGGCGAGGGGGACCGGGAGAGGCGGAGGAGCCGCGACAGCCUGUCCAGUGUCAAGUACGAGAGCAGCUCUGAGACGGGCGAGGAAGUGAGUAUGGGCGUGGAGUGGAACGGGGUGAGUACAAGUCCACAUCAACCUUUUUCACUCCCCCAAAAAUGCCAGUGUCUUUUGUGACGGACAGACUAAUGGGCUGGUACAGAGCAUACGUGACCAUGUUCCCUUUAUCGUUGUGUUUAGGCACACGUUCUCCACACCUUCCCCCUAGUCAGUUCUUUCACGCUACCAAUCGUGGAUUUAAAAGUAUAAGGAAGGGUUUUAAUUGGAGGGAGUUGCAUACCCUCUGCCUACUCAACUCCUAUUGGCUGUGAGAGGGGCGGGACCACCUGUCUCAACCUGUGGGUUUGGAAAAGGAGUGAAGAGCGGAUGUCUGUUCACUCCUGGUUCUGGAGAUUCUCGUACUGCAACUAUUAGAAACGUUGUAUCAGUUCCUCUGCUUUCUGUGUUAUUGGUCUGUCCUCACUAAAGCGUCACUUGGAAAUCCUUUUUGGAAAGGCGCAGCUGAUUGAGUGCCUUGGCACGCCCUUGUGUAUAACUUGUUGAAAUAACUCCUGGCUUUGUUUGUGCUUACCUUUUUUAUUGUGUUUUUAUGAUGCUUGUUAAUGUAUCUUGCAAUUUUUCAUUUUAAUUCAUUUAUGUUCCUUGUUAAGGUUAAAAUAAAAUGGUACUGGUUUACUCUGGGGUAUCUUUGGAAGGCAGAAUAUCAUUUAACAUAAAACAAAAGACUUCAAUGUUUGUCUUAAGCUUCAUUAGUCAGUCACCCUUGUUUUGGGGUCAUUUCGAUGCAAUCGAUUCAUGAAGUAAAGUAAAAUGAAAUUGUCCCCAGGCCCGGUUCGGAUCCAAACCAGUUUAGCACAGCAGCAGUAACAUGCCUCUAUGAGACGCUGCCUGGCAGCUUGUUGCUGUUUGGACAUCUGGACAUGUUGUAAGUUUUAGUCUAUGUGAAGUUUGGCCAGAAUGGAUGUUUACGGACCGGGCAAAUCUGCCAACUUCUAAACCCAAUGAGGCCCAAAGGAGCUUGGAUGAGUUUACUGCCGGUUUGCUUAAAUAGACACUCUGCAACCCCAGGGAACCUGGUCAAAAGUAGUGCGCUAUAUAGGGUGUAGGUUUGCCAUUUGGGAAGCCUCUAUUCUGCCAAUAAAUCCCCAGUUUGAGCCUGUGCCUCCCCCUCACACUAGCCACCUCCUCACAACACCCCCCUAUCCCCAACACGCAUGUUCUUCCUCUGCUGGCUGAUGAGGCUCACCUUUUAACCCGGGGCCAGCCGUGUUAAUAGAGUUGUCGUGUUCAGCUGGUUUGUAAUGGGCUCCAAAAUCACUUGUUAAGGAGCUGUGCCUCAUUCCCUGAGGUUAAUUCUCUGAUGAUGUCCCUGUAGCCUUUAUUCUGAUCUGGGAGUUUAUCUUAAAGGAGCAGUGUUUUAAAUGUUUUCUCCAUGUGGAAGCUAACCCUUCCCUGCUUCCCACUUGAAAAAGUUCAAGUUGAAAUGCUAAAAUCUGUCAGAACAAUUUUAUUUGGGAGAAAAAUGAACUGUAAAGGGAUUAUGCUUGCCACUGUCCAUGGAUGUGCUUGAGGAGAUGACUCCUUGUCUUAGUGACACUGAUGGAAUUAAGGGAAGGUACAGCUUUUCCAUUUGACAAAGAUAACAUUUUAGGUUGUACUUUCUGUCCACAAUUUCAGUGGAUUAUAAUGGAGUGGAACAAUACUGUUAUUACUGCAGAUUUGUUAUGGAAAGGUUUGGAUAUUAUAAUGCAAAAAAGUCUAUAGAUUUUUCUUUGAAGGCCAGGAAAGUGUAUAUUGGUUGACUCAUGCGAUUGCUGGACAAAUACAAUUAGAGUCCAAGUGUCUUGUUUGUUUUCAUAUGAUCCAUAAAUUAUGGCAAAACAGACAACUCCUGGUAUAAAACGUGCUGCUUACAGUCUGAACACUAAUUCUGCCAAGUAGGGUUUAAAAAAUAUUGUUAACCAAAAUUCAGUUUCCUUCGGUGGGAUUAUAUAAGGACACUGUUUUGCCCAAGAACAGAAUGACAGAUUUUUCACUUUGUCGGCUCUGAGAUUUGAUCCGGCAACCUUUGUUUCUGCUACCUCUACUCAAGUGAGCAGUUGCCUUCGAUUUACUAGCAAAUGACAUGAAAGCACAUACUCAAACUUUAUAUUUUUGUAGAUCUGUUUUCAUUUGCAGUUCUGGUGUGGAGGUCUGUUACAAUUAGGACAAGGAUAGGUUUUAGUUUGACUCCAGUCACGUUGGGGCAUGUUGAGACUGGGGAACCUGUCUUCAGGAGUUUAAAGGAUAGUGUGAGACUUGAGGCAAGUUUGUUCUGCUGAAAACCACACUUGAUGUGAGGUCCCUGGUCCCUCUCUCACCGUGUCAAGUAAUCCCCGGUGGAGGACAGCAGGUAGUGGUGCUAGUCUGUGUAGGCAAGGAAGGUGUCGCGUCUGGUCAUACAUCUGGUCUACAUAGUUUUCAUCUGAGUGUCUGUGGGGGCGGGUAAAAGUCAUGUUUUAAUGUGCGUGCACGUGCUGUGCUUGAAAUAAUGUGGCUUUUUGUUUGCAUGAAUGUAUCGUCUGAGCGUCUGCAUGUCACACGUCCUCAACUACCCUUUUUGUUGGUGUCUCUACUAACCUGUUCUACUGACCAUUAGCCUUGCCAUGGCAACCAAUCAGCCUGUCAAUCAAAUUAUUCCCUUUUCCUCAUUCAGUGGAUUGUACUCUUCCUCUUGGUUCUGCCAUUUUACUAAGGUCGGAAACAAAGCUCGGGGCUUGGGCAGGUUGACAUGCUCAAAAAACAGAUAAGUAUUGACCCGAAUACAAACUCAUUAGUUAUAAUGUACUUCAACUUUGGUCUCUAAUCACUAGAUAAAAAUUAUUAAACAGAAACUAAAACCAAAAUGUUUAUCCAUUAGGAUAUUUUGAUCGCCUGCAUUAACGUGGCUUCUCAUUUGGGAUAGCCUUUCAUGCUCACAUUCCUCUCCUGUGCCCUGGCCAGUGUCUUCACUGCGGUAUACCAUUGGUAUGAGACGCAUACGUUCUCUUUGGUAGCGUUGAAUCCAUACAUCUAGCAUUGCCAACGCCUCCUCUCGUUGCUAGUUUUGAGGUUGCCACUGCAUUGCUGAGUCUUGCGGUUCUCCUCAAGUCUGCAGUGCACAGUCACUGGCUGCCUCGGUGUGCCAGGUCCACCCCUGACUGCCUAAACGCCUGGCUGAAAACAGCAUCCGCAGAGACACUACAGCAAACCGCUGAGUCACAGUGACUGGCCAGCACUGGACCAAGGCAAAGGCUGUUGUCGCAUCCAAAGGCUUGAGCCGGUUUCAUUAUGAAAGUGUGCACAUCGGGGGUGUUGCCACCUAGCUGGGUGGUUGGAUGACUUGAAAGGCCUAAGCCCACAUCAAGAUUAUUCCUCCAUCCUUCUCUCCUCUUCCCCAACCAAAAUAGCAAAGGAUGUUUUUGUCGACUCGAUUCCCCCUGGCCUUGUCUCCUCUCCUAGCACCAAAUGAAAACCCCCUCUGUCAUUCCUGGUGUUUCUCGGCGAGACCGCUCCUCGUUGGCAUCUCUGUCUCUCUACUGAAAACCGCUGGGAUGUUUGGUUUCCUUUUGAUCAAUUCCUCUCAUCGCUCUCUCUCUCUCUUCAUCCUUUUCUUUCAUGCAUUACUUUGUCACGAUUGUCUGAGUUUACUCUCCCUUUUCCUGUAACAAGAUGUCAUGCAUAUCAGGUUCACCUGUAAAACUCUCUCUACCCUCCUAACAUCCAGUUGUAAUGUUAAGGUGUUAAACUGUAUUUAAUAUUGUCGUGACAGAAGAGGGUUGAGUUUGGAAAUAUGGUGGCCUGUGGGGAACACACAGAGCAAACCAGGAAUGCCAGAAUGAUAUGGACAAUGGCGAAUCUGUGUCUAUGUGACCUGCAACCACUCCCGCUGCCCUUUACAUCUGUCCGAAAAACCUAGUAUGUUACCAUGACAACACGUGGCCGCUUGCCUUCACCACAGAGCUUAGGUUCACUGUCUGCGUCCUAUAGGAUUUUACUGUUGCUUUGCGUUAUUCCAGGGUUGUGUUUGUGUUGGAAUCGCUUUGCUUUCGAGAGCACACACACGCAUGCAAAACACGCAUGCACAACGAGUAGUCUGAUCAAAUACAAAAUGGCUUGGAUUGUCAAGUUAAGACAACUGGUGCCUUUUAUUUAAGCAGCAGUGGCUAGUAUCUUCUAGUUAAAAACUCACUUAUUUGCUCCCUUGAACUUAAUUUAAUCAUUUGUAAAGAUGUAUACAUAUUCCUAAGAUCAAAAAACAGAGCUGUUUUAAAGAGGUACUUUUGCUACCCAGGCUUUGGCGUAUGACAUUAGGUAGGCUAACUAACUACUUUGUGUUCACAAGAUCUUUUAAAAUCAAGAUUUUGUUUUUCCUAUUCCAUUUUUACUUGUUUUUUUAUUUAUCUUUCAUUAUGCUUGCUGUGUUUUGAUGGCAGAGAAAUGCAUUGGUAAUCUAAUCUUCUAUACAGUAAGUAAUCACUGUUGGUAUUAACACUGGGUGAUUGUCUCAAAUGAGUAUUUCACCCAUCUGUGUCCUUAACCUGUAAGCAGUAUGUGGAUACGGUUUGCAGAUGCUUGCAUUUUAACAUUUGUGGCAAAAAUCCUAUUAAAGUUUAGAGAGCUAUAUUAGCAUUUUUUAGGCAUAAUAUCCAAAUCGAACAAAAGUUUCUGAAAUUGAUUAUGAGGCUCAACAAAGCUCCUUAUAGAUAAUAUGAUAAUAUGAUUGGACCAUGAUGUACGGUAUGAACGACACCUAUAUUGGUACCAUUUCUGAAUAGGAUUUGUUUCACAAAUGCCACAAUCAUGGUACUGAUAUUAUAGUUGUAUUAAUCUCAUAGGAAAAUUAUUUAAGAACUUAUUUUCAAACAAUGAGUGAAUAAUGCAAUUAUAGGUUUUUGAACUUGGAUGGAUUUGUAGCAUGAAUGCUAAAAUGCUAGCACUUAGAAGUAAUGCCAGAGAAACUUAACUAAAGGAUUGAUUCUUGACCUACUUUAUCUAAAGACCUCACACACCAUAAGGACAUAAAUGUACCAUUUUGGCAUUUGGUUGAAAAAUCCCUUUAUUGGACUCAGUAUUUUUUUAUUCUUUCAUUCUGUGAGUCACAUAGAAGGCCUGAUUCAUCCUUUUGACAAAGGCAAAACCUCCGCAAUAUCCCUAGAGCUUAAUUUGUUCUGGUCUUUGAUUCAGAUGUGUUCACCAGUUUUGGAAAGUUUACGAUUAAGACCUAAAUGAACUGAUGAAGGCAGUUCAGAACUAACCAGGGGUCUUGGUUGAUAAAUCGCAUAAAGACAACAAAAAAUUAUAUCAAGUUCAUAGGUUAACUAUGAACUCUCUUUUCCUGUCCAUUUCGGUCCUAGUACUGAACUUCUCUACAUUAGUGAAUACAGCUGAGUAAAUUUCUUUGUACUUUUCACACCUUUUCCGUAGGGCUAUUGCUUAUCGUUGCCAUGGUUUCAUUUAAAAAGGGAAUGACGCUUGAAUGGUUAAAUGCUAUUGACGACACCACUAUGUAACGUUCUUGAAACAUACCCGUUCAAGCAACAGCGCGUCAGUUGUCUAAUAAAGAAAUGUUCAAACCUUUGUGACCAAGGGUAAGUUAGUGACUUGACGACCCACUAUAUGCCUUUAAUUACGUUGUUGUUCAGAUUAUACCAGACAAAUUAGUGUUACUGUCGGAGAAAAUGUAUAUUUGGUUCUCUAUGGCAAUACAGUUUUUGAACACAUGGGAUUUGAUGCCUUCAUUACGUUGCACACUUCAUUACCGUUGAACAUUGUACAUUCUGACUAGGCUUCGUUUUGGGCAACAAAACCCAUAACUACAGCUUAUUGGCCAAAGUGUUUAACUAUCCGAAUGUGUGUAGAGCACUCAUCGCAUAGGCUUUUUAACUGUCCAUUAGCUUGAUUUACCAGUCCUCCGCAUAAAUCAUAGCCACACCAUAAGUGACGGAGUGAAGCAACACUGUUUCUCGCGUGGUUCUGCCAAUGUGUUUGUGUUAUAGUGGAAUGCUGAUUAUUUAUUGUAAUGUAUCUCUCAUUGAUAUUCUAGCAUCAACUGCUGUUCAUUAGGGCAGGCGGAAGCUCCAUGGUAGCACACGCCUAGAGCGUAGAGCUGCUUAAACUUUACCAUGUGUUCUUGCAUUGUCGUGAUUGUUGCACCAACACUUGUUGGUGUUCUGAAAUAAAAGUUUUUCAUUUGUGAAGUG